UGAAAAGAGUGACUAGCAAAGACUUUUGUUCUGGAUUGCACCAAAGGCCAUAACACAGGUUUAAAAUGACAUGAGGAAGCAAAGGGGGAAAAGCCCAGCAGUGCUUGAAGGCUACAUGUGGCUUGUGGGUUUGCGUACGUGCACACAAAAAGCCGUCUGUCAGCGUCAGUGAGAAACCAUUCUGAAUAUGAAUAAAAAAUGAGGCGAGAGCGCAAGAGAAAAAGAGACUGCGAAAGAGGGCGAGAACAAGACAAAGAGCUGGUGAGUCUUGAGAGAGUGGGCGGAAGAUAAAUUGCAGAAGUAGAGUGAACUACGAAAAGAACGGGAGAACAUGCGCUGGACGGGAGGGGCUGAGCAUGGAGAAAGGUGCCUGCAUGAGAAAGAAAUGACUGCGGGUUCCUUUGAGAAAUGUGGCAGAAAGACUUCUUGUUGCUAAGAUGCUACAUACACACAAAGAAUUCUGCUGUGGAAAUGUAUUAAUACAUUAGCCGUGGGUGAGGCAAACCUCAGAUGUCUAAUGAAGUUCACACAUCCCCUCCUUCAAUAUUAUUAGCAUGCUUCUCCCAUGAUGGUUCAAAAGACCCACUGCAGCUCUAGCUGUUUACUUGGAUAUGGGUUCAAAGCAUAAAACAUUUAAUAAUCAAUUUUGUUUUUAAAAAAUUUUUAAAUAUUCACAUACGCAUUGAAUCUUUUAGCGGCUAAUUUUAUCCAAGGUGACUUUAAAAACAAAAUACAGAUUUCAAAAUAAUACAAAGCUAGAGCAGAAUACUAGGUGUUUUCUUGAUUAUAAUACUGGUCAUCAUAAAUAACGAUAGUAAUUAUCUUUAUACAUACCUAUAUCUAAUUGUCGGGGGGUGUGCGAACUGGCAGUAUUAUAAGCAAUAUAGAUAGCAAUAUUUCACUGUAAAGAAAUAUCGCAUUAUAGGUUUAUUCGCUUUAAACAAGGCCCCUGUGAUAUCAAAAUGUUUAAUAACAUAGAAAUUAAAAACAAAAAUUUGCAAGCAGUAUCAAAAUCAUAAUAAUGAUAAAAAACCUCAAGGUCACUAAAGACCAGUAAAUACAGGCUAUAUUGUUCGCUGGUGUGGAUGCUAAUAUCUUUAUAGUUUUUAUAGUUAUGAAAAAAGAACUAAUUAAGAAAAGAAAUUAAGAAACUAAUUACAAGCAACGGGACAAAAAAAAAAUUACAGAACAAAUAAAACAUUCUAAGAUCAGAUCUGCAUGACGCAAAAGGAAGCCAUUUUGAACGAUUACAAGGUCUCUAUCCUGAGCUGUGUUUAUGUAGCAGGUUUACUCAACAGGGGUGAAAUGCUAAGAUUCCUUUGUUGACAGAAUAAUUGUACAUUAAAAUUGUUUAUACUCAUUAUGCUACUAAAAGCAAGACUCCCCGCCUGACAUGCAGGAAUAGCUGAUGACAUUCCUAAUGUGCCUGACAGCAUUGUUUAAGCUCUUCUCUUUGGCAGGAGCAAAGCGCUUGAUGAUUUGUCCAAAGUAAAUGCAUUCUAGAGCGAUAUGAGAAAUACCUCAUACAAGUGUAAGCUAAGACUGACUCAUUAGACCACAGACACACUGCCAUCACAGAGGUUUACAUUUUUGUAAUCUCAGUGGAAUAAAUCUAGAAUCCUGUUUAUACUACACUGUGUUAAAGCUGUUAAAGGGAAAGCUACUGACUGGUAUUUGUAUAUGGAGACUUAGGAUGAAACAAUUCCUGACUGCACGAUAACUAUUAUUUACUUUCAAUCUUAACGUAAUGUAGAUGUAUGAAGGACUGUUGAUGGCACCUGAACAUGAGCUGGUCAAAUGUCAGUGAGUUUAAAUAAUUUAAUAAAAUACUAAUUUAAUUUAAAGUAAUCCACAAAAUAUGAAGGAGCAUCUGUUUUGAAUUCACUUCAGCUUUGCCAUUGCAGGAAUACAUUUUUCAAUAUAUUUUAAUAAAAACACUUUUAAAUUGUAACAAUAUUCAACAUUAUGAAAUUUUGGACUAUGUUUUUGAUCAAUAAAUUCAGCCUUGGUGAGGGCAAUAGACUUAACACAUAAAACAUUUUACUAACUCCAUACAAGAUAAGAUCCCUGAAUUUGCAAAGACAAAAGUCUCAAAACCAAAUUGAUAUUCUUCAUAAAGGUUAUGACUGUGGCUGUGCACAGAAACUAUAAAGUGGGGCAAUGCUAACUCUGCAAGAACAGUCUGCUGUUUCUGACUCAAAUAUUAAAUAAUUUACCAAAUAAUAAAAAUGCAAAUAUAGCUUGAGGUUGAAUAUCAAUUACAAACAAAAUUUACAAUCAAUUUCUUUAAAUUAUGCUUCCUUAAAUUGAAAUGGCAAAUCUGUAAAGUGUUUACCAACUCAAUUCAAAUUCAAGAAUAUUGGAAUGAAUUGAAAUUUUCUCAAUUCUAAACGGCAAACAAACCUGUUGUUUGCAUUUUUUGGGACAGCUGUGUCUCCACCGCAGGCUAAAUGACAAAAAAGGAAACUUAAAGACUUGUUAAAGUUUAUCGAUGACUUGUAAGGUGAGGAUUCACAGCAAAAUAGUCUGAGCUAUCUUACUACAGCCACCACCUUCAGCAAACACUAAAAAAAAUCACAUAAAUCACAGAUCUUCAGGAAAGCUAAGAUAAAAGGCAAGCUCUUGUUGACGGUAUAUAACAACAAAAGCGAAUCUGUAGUGUUCAGGAGCAGAAUUCAUGUUAGGUCAGCAAAACAAUUCAAAGCGUUCUUGCUUACGUAUUCAAAUUACUGUAAUAUUUACAAAUUGCAAAAAUGCAAAACCAGUGUAUGUUUUCCCAACUCCCUCAUAAAGUGUUUUGUGCUGUCCACAUUAACAGCUCUCUUACCCUCAGUGUAAUUUACAUUCAGUUAACAGUGUUGAUUAUUUUCAGUGUUCCUGGUUGUUAUGGUUUGGAUUUGAUUCUGCUCCAUUAGCAGGUGAUUACCAGGUGAGUGCAUUAAUAAAACAGACACAGCAUACGGAAAAAGAUAGAGCGAAAAACAGCAGCAGUCUGUUUAUCUUUCCUGCUCAGUCCCACCGAUCAUCUCCCUCGGAGUGCAUUAAUUACUCCAGAAUAGGAAUUAAUUUUAAGGAAUUAAGCAUAAUGCGGCUUAAUUCCACUGAUCGUGAGAGCCGUGUGUGCAUCACAGCACAAGCGGCUCUUACCAUCCUUCCCGUCUCGUUUAUUUCCUUCUAUUCCCUCCAUAGCAUACUAUUGUUACACGUAAUGUAUUCCAUUUCAUUCCAUUAUGCAGAGUGCCAUUCCUAGCCGUUUACUUCCAUUCAUUUUCAUUCUGUUCUAUUCCAUUCCAUCGACGAAAGCUGAUAUCUCAUUGCUGCCAUUGUGGUUGGUAACUGCAUCCAACAUCCUGAUUGGAUUGAAGGUGGGAGUGAACAUUGGCAGGACCCCAAGGUCUGGUGGCCCUGUGUUCGGCCACCCUCUCAGGUUCACGCACACCCACAAAGGCCGUCCUUUAAGGCAGACGGAAGAGUUCACCGUCGAACAAGCACAGGUCUGCCAUUCCCAGGGCAUCUUUCUCAGGGUCCUCUGUGUCUCUCGCACACAAUCAGUUCUUCAUUAUCCCGGGUCAGAUUCAGUAAAUGGUCUACCUUCAAUAAAGAGACUGAAAUAGUGUGUGAGACGGCUGCUGUGACGGCUGCUGUGAUGAUAUCUGAUGAAAUGAGGUUAUAACUAACUGAAUAAGUGAAUGAAUCAACAGAUUUUAUUUAAUCAUAUUCAUAAUUUCACAGAGACACUGUCUUGCUCUUGCGGUAGAUAAAGACAGACUCCGGAGUCAUGCAUGCAGAAAAUGAAGUUAAAAUUGAAAGAAAUUCAGUCACUAGUGUCUCACACCAAACAGAAAUUCUACAGUUUUUUAUGUUGUUUCAUACUGGAUGUCUUCUUGGACAAGAGCUCUUCUGCUUUCCUCGACGGUCCUCCAAACCCUUGCUGGAAAAUUGACACUUUCUCCUCCAUUUGCUAAACCACAUGGACCACUGCAGAUCAUUACCAAGUGUUCAAAGCCCCUUGAGACACAAGAAGACUGGAAGCUGUCUACACUAGUCAGGUUUCCAUCAUGAAAAGAAGACCAAAAGCCUGACCUUGAAAAAUGGCCACGACACCAUUAGCACACCAUUAUAAAUCUCUAACUGUCAGCAGCCAGCCUCUUUAUCUUGGUUAUGUGCGAUAAAGUCAAAAAAGUCUAUAAUUAGCCUGGCCAAGGUCCCAUUAAUUCCACUUUAAACUUCAUGAACCACAAAACAUGGAAUGUUUUGUCUUCUGUAAUUGACUAUAUUAACUAUAUAUACACACCACUGCCUUUAAAUGAAAUUACUGAAAAUAAUCUUUCUCUUAGACAUUCACAGGGUCUCAUUUUGGACUAUAUGAAGAAUUCUAGUAGUCAGUAGUCCAGUAUUCAGACAUUCAACAGACAUUAAUAAUGAUGUUAACACAAAAAGAAAAUGUGUAAAUGAGAUUGGGUACAUUGCUUAAUGCUGC